GGCGGCUCCGUGAGGAAGCCGAGGCGUCACAGCAAAUUCACAUACUCAAACCAGUCACGUGCCCAAGAAAACAGGAUUAACAUGGCAAAGAGCCCCCGCCUCAGUACAGAGCUGAAGUCCUGGAUUGUGGAGGCACACAGUGAGAGAGAGAGAGGCAGAGACACAGGCAGAGGGAGAAGCAGGCUCCAUGCAC